rnacentral:rRNA from 1 species
UACAGAGGGUGCAAGCGUUAUCCGGAAUGAUUGGGCGUAAAGCGUCCGCAGGUGGCAGUUCAAGUCUGCUGUCAAAGACCGGGGCUUAACUUCGGAAAGGCAGUGGAAACUGAACAGCUAGAGUAUGGUAGGGGCAGAGGGAAUUCCUGGUGUAGCGGUGAAAUGCGUAGAGAUCAGGAAGAACAUCGGUGGCGAAGGCGCUCUGCUGGACCAUAACUGACACUCAGGGACGAAAGCUAGGGGAGCGAAUGGG